rnacentral:rRNA from 1 species
UGAGGAAUAUUGGUCAAUGGGCGGAAGCCUGAACCAGCCAUCCCGCGUGCAGGAAGAAUGCGCUAUGCGUUGUAAACUGCUUUUCCAGGGGGCGAACGUUCCGUACGUGUACGGGAGUGACGGUACCUUGGGAAUAAGCAUCGGCUAACUCCGUGCCAGCAGCCGCGGUAAUACGGAGGAUGCGAGCGUUAUCCGGAUUUAUUGGGUUUAAAGGGUGCGUAGGCGGAUUAAUAAGUCAGUGGUGAAAACCUGCAGCUUAACUGUGGAACUGCCGUUGAUACUGUUAGUCUUGAGUAUGGUCAAGGUAGGCGGAAUGUGUAAUGUAGCGGUGAAAUGCUUAGAUAUUACACAGAACACCGAUUGCGAAGGCAGCUUACUGGGCCAUAACUGACGCUGAUGCACGAAAGCGUGGGGAUCGAACAG